ncrna:unclassified sequences Glutamine-II riboswitch (downstream peptide RNA)
GUACGUUCACCCUUCGGGGCGCAUAUCUACCAUGCAUGGAACGGGGCAUGGA